rnacentral:lncRNA from 1 species
UCCCUUCACGACUGAGGCUCCAGAUGCAGCUCGCACGGCCUCCCCCUGCCCAGACCCUGGCUGAUGUCGCCCACAACUGCAUGCCCUGCAGUAGCCCGUGCCUGCCCCAGGCUCUCGCACCCGCUGGGGCGACUGAGGCUCUGAGCUGGGCUGCAGCCCGGAGGCCGCGAGCAACAGCGUCAGCUCUCUCCCUGGGUCACAAACCGUCAGGCUCCAACAACGCCACUGGGCAGAGGCACAGCCUGGAGUCGAGGAGCGUCCCCCCAGGCGCAGCACGGUCUCACGUCCAGGGUCCUGGCAGGGUCAGAAGCCGGAGAGUCUCCACAAUAGGUGCCACCUCCAGGGCCCCAGGAAAGACAGUGGCCCCUAUGGGUCCCCAGGGCCAUGCUGAGCCACUGAUGGGCCCACUCAAGAGCCAAGACCGCCAGCCCAGGCCCUCAUCUGCCGCCUGGGGCCGAGAUGCACCUGCCAGUACAGCCCGAAACUAAUGACUCACCAGGGCGGCAGUUUCUGGCCCUCACUGCCACCAGGGGCUGCCCCUGGCCUGGGGGCCAACUGUGCCCACACACCACACCACAGCCUGCUGCACUAGCCAGCACUGAGCAGGCCUGGACAGGCUCAGGGACGGAGUCCGCAGACGGCAAGGAGAAAGGCCCGCCACCUCGCCACUGCCACCAGGCCCCAGGGAUGGAGACCACAGAGAACUCGGCAGCAACAACAGCUGGCACAGGCCUGGAUGUUAGCAUGGCUCCCAACGGCCACCUGCGCAGACCCAGCCCUGGGGAAGCAGCGGUCCCCAUCGUGGACAGACCCAAACUGGCCCUGGACCCUGAUCAGAGUCUCAGUUGCAACAGGCUGUGCCCCGCAGCCCCAGGCAGCAGGGCCAGAGAAAGGGCAGGGGCUGAAGGGUCCAAACGGAAGGCCUCCCGAGGCUGA